AUACAGUUUAAUGCUCGACUCACUGGAAGUGCUCAAGAGGGAACGUGCCUCCCUCAAGAAUGCCAAGCUGCCUCCUGGUCAUCCAACACGACUGCAAAACCGGAGGCAGAAA